rnacentral:rRNA from 1 species
GACGAACGCUGGCGGCGUGCUUAACACAUGCAAGUCGAACGGAAAGGCCCUGCUGUUGUGGGGUGCUCGAGUGGCGAACGGGUGAGUAACACGUGAGUAACCUGCCCUUGACUUUGGGAUAACUUCAGGAAACUGGAGCUAAUACCGGAUAGGAGCUCCUGCUGCAUGGUGGGGGUUGGAAAGUUUCGGCGGUUGGGGAUGGACUCGCGGCUUAUCAGCUUGUUGGUGGGGUAGUGGCUUACCAAGGCCUUGACGGGUAGCCGGCCUGAGAGGGUGACCGGCCACAUUGGGACUGAGAUACGGCCCAGACUCCUACGGGAGGCAGCAGUGGGGAAUAUUGCACAAUGGGCGGAAGCCUGAUGCAGCGACGCCGCGUGCGGGAUGACGGCCUUCGGGUUGUAAACCGCUUUCGCCUGUGACGAAGCGUGAGUGACGGUAAUGGAUAAAGAAGCACCGGCUAACUACGUG